AUUGAACGCUGGCGGCAGGCUUAACACACGCAAGUCGAGCGGAGAUGAGGUGCUUGCACCUUAUCUUAGCGGCGGACGGGUGAGUAAUGCUUAGGAAUCUGCCUAUUAGUGGGGGACAACAUUCCGAAAGGAAUGCUAAUACCGCAUACGCCCUACGGGGGAAAGCAGGGGAUCUUCGGACCUUGCGCUAAUAGAUGAGCCUAAGGCGGAUGAGAUAGUUGGUGGGGUAAAAGCCUACCAAGGCGACGAUCUGUAGCGGGUCUGAGGGGAUGAUCCGCCACACUGGGACUGAGACACGGCCCGGACUCCUACGGGAGGCAGCGGUGGGGAAUAUUGGACAAUGGGCGGAAGCCUGAUCCAGCCAUGCCGCGUGUGUGAAGAAGGCCUUUUGGUUGUAGAGCACUUUAAGCGAGGAGGAGGCUACUUAGAUUAAUACUCUAGGAUAGUGGACGUUACUCGCAGAAUAAGCACCGGCUAACUCUGUGCCAGCAGCCGCGGUAACAC
rnacentral:rRNA from 1 species